CCGUCGGUUCCGAUGCGUGUACAGAGGGACGCUGAGCAUCCCCGGUCCAGCACCUCUCAAGAACCUCAACAAGAAUAAAAAAGUGGUUCCGCUUCCUGAAAAAGAACAAUAUGACAUUCUAGAGGAAAAAAAUAUACCUGUAUUACAAGAAACUCCAGUAGAAAUAGAAGCCCAAAGAUGAACACCAGUGGAACAGCAAACACAAGAACAGUCAGGAGAAAAAGGGCAAAGACUUGAGUCACCAGAAUCUCCCGAACCAUUGUCCUCUGAAAAUCCAUCUCAAGAGCAAAGCUCCAGAACACCAGAAUCUCUUGGACAAUUACCCUUGGAAGAACCUCUCCAGGAACAAAGUCCUGAGCAGCAGGAGUCCCCUG
rnacentral:lncRNA from 1 species